GGACCCUCCAACUGCAGCUUUGGUGGAGAAGUGAAUGGCAUCCUGCUCGCUUAUUUGACCUGCGAUCCUGCGUGUCAGCCUCUGCUCGCUCUGAUGGAGAGGUAUUUGUGAAUUACCAUAUCUGCCUACUACCACUAUUCUAAGCACAUCGUAGCAAGCUACACCGCUGUUGAACAGAGCGGUUACACUGCGGGUGAAUCUAUAUGAGAUUCUUCUACCUGUUCUGACAACAUUGGCUACAGCAUCACUACUACAGCUCAACAACUGGGGUUUAAGAUUGCCAGCAAACCAUGAGAAGCUAGGAGAAAGGAAUGGAACCGCUUCUCCUUCACAUUCCUCAGAAGGAACCAACCCUGCAGACACCUUGAUCUUGGACUUCAAGCCUCCAGAACUGUGAGAAAAUAAAUUUCUGUUCUUUAAGCCCCUCAGUUUGGGGUGGUUUUAUCCGGCAGCCCUAGCAAACACAGUAGGGCUGUGGGAAAAUAGAGAGUAAGGGAUGUAAGGAAUCCUGAACAGGGGUCCACCUCACACCACUCUGCUUAUAGGGAAUCCGGGAGGUCACAAAUUAUAUUCUUGACCAUCCCCACCCCCUGCUAGCAAACACUGAUUCUUGAUCAUCUCCCUCUGCGCCCAGCCCUUGGUGGACAUCUUCACAAUCACUCCCAUCAAACUGUACUGAAUGAUUUAUUUCUCUCUCCAUUUAUCUCACCAGACCAGGAGCAUCUCAGCAUAAGGACUCUCUCAUUUUCCUUUAUGUUUCUUCAUUUCUUGUACAAAUUCUGGCAUAUGAAAAGUGCUCAAUAAACACUCAUUAAAUAAAUGAAUGGAGAAUGUGCAGAAUUUAAUGAGAAUUUAAUAUUUGUAAGCUUUCUGUG
rnacentral:lncRNA from 1 species